rnacentral:tRNA from 1 species
AAUAGAAUGCCUGAUAAAAAGGACCAUUUUGAUAGAAUGGGUCAUGCAAUUUUUUUUGCUUCUAUUA